rnacentral:tRNA from 1 species
AAGGAUUUAAGUUAAUAAAACUAGUAGCCUUCAAAGCUUCAAAUAAAAAAAAUAUUUUAAGCCUUA